rnacentral:lncRNA from 1 species
AUCAUUCACAUCACACACAAUCGUAACCAACGAAAUCAACAACCAAUCAAUACAAACAGUUAUUCAUCACCAACGAAGAUCAAACCACACACGAACAUCCAAUUCGAAAUACGAAACAUCCCAAAUAAUAAAAUAGAUAAGAGAAAGUGUAGAGUUGGACCUCGAUUGAAGCUUUUAUUGUGCCAAAAUAUGUGAUCAAAAGACAAAGUCGGAUCCAAAACUCUCGAUUUGAACCUUGAUAACCAACAACUCCAAACUCGAUAUUGAAUUCAACCUAACAGAUUGGAAAACAACAAAAAAGCCUCACAAUGAAUCACCCACAAACCCGAAUAGAAAUAAAAAACAACCCAAGAUCUCAAAUUCGAAACCCCAAACCAUCGAUUUCCAACUAACCUUGCACGAACCAAACCAACUCGAUAUCGAGGAAUAAUAAACUUGGAUGGAUUUAAAACCCUAAGAAAUAAGAAAUAUCAAAAGAACCGAGACUGAAACUAUGAAAAAUCGAGAAGACCCAUACGCGAACUCUCGUCAUACUCAACUUGAAUCUCGUCGGAAUCGAUGGAAAACGGGUUGGGUGUCGUUGAUUGGUCACCGACUUUACUGUUUUCGAUGCCCGCUGCCAUCGCAGGAGAGAGAUCGGGUCGACGGCUGGAGGAACAACUUGUGUUAGCCUUUUGGGGAGGCACCGUCUCUGGCUGGUCGGUGUUUGAGCGGAGAAAGAGGAGGACGAGAGAAGGAGCGGCGACAGCCGACGCUGUUGUCGCCGAUGGGGUCAUUUGGUUGGUCACCGGCGAUGUUUGUUGAGAGAGAGAGAGUCAGAGUCUAGAGAGAAGGCGAGAGAGAGAUUGGUCCUUUCUUUUUUUUUCAUUUAUG